AAAAAAAAAGUAUACAUGAUCUGGGUAUGGCGGCCUGUAGUCUGCGGCAGCUGUGAGGUCUGGUUCCCCGACGUGCUGCAGCAACUGUCUUCCCGGCCCUGCCUGCGGGCUCCCUCCAUGCCCAACUCUGCCAUGGACACCAGAGUCCUCUCCUGUGUGGUCAUCUGUCUUCUGGGGACAGGUCUCUCAAAUGCCGGCAUCACACAGAACCCAAGACACCUGGUCAGGAGGAGGGGACAGGAGGCAAGACUGAGAUGCAACCCAAUGAAAGGACACAGUUAUGUUUAUUGGUAUCGGCAGCUCCCAGAGGAAGGUCUGAAAUUCAUGGUUUAUCUCCAGAGAGAAAAAAUCAUAGAUGAGUCAGGAAUGCCAAAGGAACGGUUUUCUGCUGAAUUUCCCAAAGAGGGCCCCAGCAUCCUGAGGAUCCAGCAGGCAGAGCAAGAAGACUCAGCAGCUUAUUUCUGUGCCAGCUCACCACCCACAUCAAUGCAGAGCCACAGCCUCUCAGUCCAAAAACAUCCUCCAGACCUGCCUUGGAAGCAGCGGUGGGCUGGGAAGGGAAACAUGUUACCGGUACAGUGAACAGGAGAAACACCCAGAAAAUCUUCCAGGAAGACAGAAGAGGGACACUGGCUGGGGAGCCUGAGAAAGAUCCAGAGAGAUCUCCAGAAAAAGACCAACCCUGAG